GACGAACGCUGGCGGCGUGCUUAACACAUGCAAGUCGAACGGUGAAGCGCCUUCCUUUUUGGUGGGUGUGGAUGGGUGGCGAACGGGUGAGUAACACGUGAGUAACCUGCCCCCUUCUUCUGGAUAACCGCAUGAAAGUGUGGCUAAUACGGGAUAUUCUGGGUCUGUCGCAUGAUGGGUCUGGGAAAGAUAUUGUUUCGGUGGGGGAUGGGCUCGCGGCCUAUCAGCUUGUUGGUGGGGUGAUGGCCUACCAAGGCGGUGACGGGUAGCCGGCCUGAGAGGGUGGACGGUCACACUGGGACUGAGACACGGACCAGACUCCUACGGGAGGCAGCAGUGGGGAAUAUUGCACAAUGGGCGCAAGCCUGAUGCAGCGACGCCGCGUGGGGGAUGGAGGCCUUCGGGUUGUGAACCUCUUUCGCCAGUGAAGCAGGCCUGCCUCGUUUGUGGGUGGGUUGACGGUAGCUGGAUAAGAAGCGCCGGCUAACUACGUG
rnacentral:rRNA from 1 species